GGAUCUUUAGCUCAGUUGGUUAGAGCAACCGGCUCAUAACCGGUCGGCCCGGGGUUCGAGUCCCUGAAGGUCCACCA
rnacentral:tRNA from 14 species